CGCCGACUUAAUUACGUCCAGGAUGCACGCCAGAGGUGAAAAGCCGCCGAGCACUGUUUUUCAAUCAUCAUCUCGCCAACUGACCUGGACUAGUGACACUAAAACCAGCAAUUAAAAGCCUCAGAUUCAAAUGCAUCCUGUUAAGGAGCCAUGGGUGAUUAGAUCAUAAAUCUGAGUGACCUUGAAGAUGAUGAAGGAAAUGUGCUUUGUAAGGCCAUCAUCUUGCCACCGAUCCAUCACUGACACAUCUUUACAGGUGCAAGGAAAAGGUUUAAUUUCAAAUCACUUGCAAGAAUCACUCUGAAUAAAAUAUUACUUUAUAAGAUCACCACACAAUAAACAAG
rnacentral:lncRNA from 1 species